rnacentral:pre_miRNA from 1 species
UAUAUAUUCCCUCCGUUCGAAAAUACUUGUCAUCAAAAUGAAUAAAAAAGAAUGUAUUUAGAUGUAUUUUAGUUUUAGAUACAUCCAUUUUUGUUAUUUUGAUGACAAGUAUUUUUGGACGGAGGGAGUAUAUG